rnacentral:rRNA from 1 species
AUGACCAUCGUGCCCCUAAUUACGAACCGCCAUCGACGCAUCUGGACCGUCCUUGUGUUUUUCCCACUCGCGUUCAGCCCAGGGGGGAGCACCGGAGCAGAAACGUGGGUAUUAUUGAAUCAUGCACUGGGUAUAAGCAAAAACGGAAGCAGGAUCAUCAUAACUACAAGAAAUGAAGAUGUUGCUUCAUUGGCUGAUGAUGAGCAUGGCAUUCAGCUUAAAACUCUUGGAAAGGAAGAAGCAUGGGACCUCUUCUGUAGAAAAGCCUUUCCAAGAUUAGAAGGGAAAACAUGUCCCCAGAGUCUAAUUUAUUGGGCAGAAAAGAUUGUGGACAAGUGUGAAGGGUUGCCACUAGCUAUUGUUGCCAUUGGAAGUUUGCUGAUGCGCAAGAGGCUAUCUGAAAAUGAAUGGAAAUGCUUCUAUCAUCAGCUGGAUUGGCAGAUAGGUAACAAUGCAGAGCUCAGCUCCGUGAGGAAUGCCCUGGACCUUAGCAUCAACCAUUUACCAGGAAAUCUGAAGAACUGCUUUCUAUACUGUGGUAUAUUUCCUGAAGACUAUCUGAUUCGAAGAGAAUACCUUAUUAGGUUAUGGAUAGCGGAAGGAUUCAUAGAAGAAAGGGGGCCAGAGAUAACGAAGCUCCCUGAUGUUGUGACCACUCUGUUCAAUUUGCACUACCUUGAUUUGUCUUACACAAAUCUGGAAGUGGUUCCCAAAGCAUCGUGUAAGUUGACCAAACUACAGAUGCUAGAUCUUCGGGCAACUCGUGUGGUGGAACUGCCGGUUGAAAUAAAGAAGCUGACUAAGCUCCGGUUUCUGCGAAUUUCUGUCAUCCAUGAUUAUGAUGCAAGAAUAUUUGAUUGCUUCCAAGGCCCUAAAGUUCAUUCCGGGAUUUGUCUUCUAAAGGAUAUGCAAGAACUGGGAUAUGUGGAAGCAAACAAAGAUUUAGUCGUCAAUCUUUGCAACUUGACGUUACUCCGAAGACUUGAAAUAACAAAAGUCAAGCGUGAGCACAUUAAGGAAUUAUGGACCUCCAUCACAAGAUUGUCGCACCUUUCUAAUCUUGAUAUAAUCUCAUAUGCGAAGGAAGAAGUUCUUGAUCUGGAAAACUUAGAUCCUUUGCCAAAUCUGGAAUGGUUUUACCUGAAAGGCAAGUUGCACGGAGGUGUUAUCCCAACAAUAUUCAGCGGUUUCAGAAAACUCAGAGACCUACGCAUGGGGUGGUCCAGGUUGCAAGCAGAUCCAAUUCCUUCAUUUGCAAACUUAUCGCAUCUGGUUGAACUUCACCUUUACAGAGUCUAUGAGGGGCAGAUCAUGACUUUCAGGACAGGUUGGUUUCCAAAGCUCGAGAAACUGUACUUAGCUGACAUGGAGCAGCUCAGUUGCAUUGAUGUGGAGGCUGGGACCAUGCCGAUCCUUAAUUAUAUGCAGCUCACUGGUCUGAAAAAUUCCAUUGAGAUGAAGAAGCUGUUCUGUGCUUGUGUAAUUUGCUGGUGCAUGUUCACCAAGACUUCCCUCGCUAUGCUUGGAACUGAAUCGUGUGCCUUCUGCAGCCAUGUUGCCAGGACACGUGAUAUAGUCCGGUCCGGUGUUGUGCGUUGA